UUCCCAACAUGAGGCAUAUGAAAUGUGAAAAAAUAAAAAAGCCUCUAUUUGAAUGGAUUGAAGAGGAAACAGUGUGUUUAUUUAAAAGUCACUAGAAAAAAGAACAACUUGUAAGACUGAUGCUCUGAGAAACGUACAUGUUAAACACUGACCAAGAAAAAUAGUGGCAAGUGGUGAAGUUGAUUUAGUCUUGAUGUUUUCUUGCAGAACAGAGAGA
rnacentral:lncRNA from 1 species